rnacentral:rRNA from 1 species
GACGAACGCUGGCGGCGUGCCUAACACAUGCAAGUCGCACGGGACCAGCAAUGGUUCAGUGGCGGACGGGUGCGUAACACGUGAGGAACAUGCCUAUCGGCGGGGGAUAGCCGGCCCAACGGCCGGGUAAUACCGCGUACGACCUUCGGUGGUCGAUCACCUCGAUGGUGAAAGACAGCAAUGCGCCGAUAGAGUGCCUCGCGGCC